rfam:Gasterosteus aculeatus cont1.003211, whole genome shotgun sequence.
UUAAAAGUGUAAUGUAAGUCGCUUUGGAUAAAAGCGUAUGCUAAAUGACCUGUA